CCAAAAGUUAAUUGCCUCCUCCGCUCAACCCUAACAUCCUUGAGAUUUUCUCCCAAGACGAAGAACUCAGCUUCAUUGUCCGAAUUCGAAUACACGGUUUGUCUGCGAAGACAGGCGGAUAGCUGUUUGGCUCAUUCAAUCUUUAGCAACAGCCCCCUUACCAAACCAAAUCCAAAUUAAAGGUGGAAAGUAGUUGGUUUCAUUCCAAUCGUUGCUCCAGGUCUUGAAACUGGAAUCGUAAUUGACCUUCGCCCAAAAUCGCUAGUCCCGGGUCAUGAAACCAAACCCCAAAUUGUUAAAAAAUCACAUGUUCCAGGUGUUGAUUUAAAAUAUUGAAAUUGCAGGUUGCUUGUAUAUUGUUCAUAAUAUAAAUUACAGGUCUUCAGGAGAGUAUCAGCUGAAACUAAUGGGUAGAUAAAGCGUUUAAAUUUGAAACUAAUGGGUAGAUAAAUUAGAAAAGUAUCGGCUGCCGCUGGAAGAUCUGUUUGAUUUUGUUUCGUGAGGAUUAGAUUAGGAGAGUAGUUUUUUAUUAGAUUAGAAUUCUUGUAGGUCAUGUUGACUUGAUUAAUGAUUAGCAAGGGUUGUAUCAAGUAUAAAUAUAGGGUUUAUGGGUCACGGAUGAUCUUUUGCUUUUAUCAAAGUUUAAAAUGUGACUUGUGAUUUGUCACCAAUAUUGUGUUAUGUGAUUGUUCGAUCCAGUUUUCCAACACUAAUACGUGUACUUUGUACAUGUAGAAGUCAUGAUUGUGUUUAUUAUGCUUAGUGUGAAAUUAGGAUUUUGACUUGUUCAUAAUUGUAGGGAACACAGGGUAACAUGAAAGAAACUGAAAAUAUAGUCACUUCAACAGAAGUCGAACACGUUGUUCUCAACUCUGGAAAACUUGACAAUAGUGUUGAUGCUGUUGAAAGCUCAAAGGAGGCCCCUGCUGAUGAAAAUGAUACGAAUGAUAAUAAUGAGACUGAUGAAAGUGAUGCCUUUGAGUCAAAACUGAGAAUUGGCUUCAGCAACGGUAUGCAGAGUUAUGUCCAAGGAGUGAACAGAACGUGUCUUUCAGAAUUCUCGGGUAUUAGUGGCGUACACUUCGAUUUAAUGAUGAUACGCGCCAAAGCACAGCUAAAGUCAUGACCGCUUAUAAUGAAUCAGGAUCUAUAUUCCUAAUGCAGCAGGCACAUUGUUUGGCUGUUCCAUGUAAUUUCCUUAAACAUUGUCAUGUAUAAUUAAUUUUUUUAUAACGAACUACUCACAUACGUGAUGUGGGCCCCUGGCGCAUUGGCUUUUGUGUUCAAAAUGCAUUGGAGCGCAUCACGCCUUUUUUACUUGCAUUAUUUUAAGUUUGCAUUUAAUGUUAUGCAUCUACUACAGAUCGUAAAAGUAUGAUAUCUGCUGGACUGACUUCCCUCUCAUGUAAUUGUGAUAUGUUAAGUUCUGUAUAUAGGAAGACUAGUAUGAAAGUUUUGUGCAUUGGUCAUGGUGGUGGAAGCUUACCGUUGUUUUUGGCUUGCAAAAUUCCAGGAACGAGCUGCUAAGGAAGCUGCUACUAAGGAGGCUGCAAGUCGGGGUGCAAACGAGCCGAGCCCAAGCUCGACUAGGCUCGAGCUCGAGCUCGUUUAACAUAUGAAAGCUCGAGCUCGACUCGAUUCGAGCUUUAUUUCUAAAGCUCGAGCUCGGCUCGAAGAAAUUUGGUUCAAAAUUUAAUUACGAGGCGAUGGCUCCUCUUUGAUGAGGUGUAAAGAAGGGAUCUUUUUGGAGCUGAGAAGACCCUAAGAUUGAAAAGUUGAACUUAGUUAUCAAGGAGCUCGUUAAGGAAAAAGAUGAAAAAAAAGGUUCAAUGGAAUUAUUGCAGGAUUGUUGGCUGAAAAAGAAAAAAGAUAUGGUGGAUAAAGAUGUUAUGCUUGAUAGGAUGUCACAAAUUGAAGCUAUGUUAACAGCUGCAGUUCGAAGAUAUGCUAUAAACACUUGUUUUUGAAUGUUUAGAUGUUUAUCUUAUUAUGAUAAUUUUAGUUAUUUUAUGUUUUA